UCCGCGCGGAAGAUGUAACGGGGCUAAGCGAUGUACCGAAGCUGCGGGUGCAUAGCAAUAUGCGCGGUAGAGGAGCGUUCCGUAAGCCUGCGAAGGUGACUCGUAAGGGUUGCUGGAGGUAUCGGAAGUGCGAAUGCUGACAUGAGUAACGAUAAUGCAGGUGAAAAACCUGCACGCCGUAAGCCCAAGGUUUCCUGCGCAACGAUUUUCGGCGCAGGGUAAGUCGGAUCCUAAGGCGAGGCCGAAAGGCGUAGUCGAUGGGAAUGCAGUGAAUAUUCUGCAGCCAGUGGAUGGUGACGAAUCCCGUAUGUUGUCCGACCUUAAUGGAUUGGUUGGGCCUCGAAGGGGUUCCAGGAAAUAGCCUCCACAUCAGAUCGUACCCGAAACCGACACAGGUGGACUGGUAGAGUAUACCAAGGCGCUUGAGAGAAGUGUGCUGAAGGAACUCGGCAAAUUGCCUCCGUACCUUCGGAAGAAGGAGGCCCUCUUUCUGCGCAAGCAGUUGGAGGGGGCACAGGCCAGGGGG
rnacentral:rRNA from 1 species